rnacentral:rRNA from 1 species
GACGAACGCUGGCGGCGUGCUUAACACAUGCAAGUCGAACGGAAAGGCCCUGCUUUUGUGGGGUGCUCGAGUGGCGAACGGGUGAGUAACACGUGAGUAACCUGCCCUUGACUUUGGGAUAACUUCAGGAAACUGGGGCUAAUACCGGAUAGGAGCUCCUGCUGCAUGGUGGGGGUUGGAAAGUUUCGGCGGUUGGGGAUGGACUCGCGGCUUAUCAGCUUGUUGGUGGGGUAGUGGCUUACCAAGGCUUUGACGGGUAGCCGGCCUGAGAGGGUGACCGGCCACAUUGGGACUGAGAUACGACCCAGACUCCUACGGGAGGCAGCAGUGGGGAAUAUUGCACAAUGGGCGGAAGCCUGAUGCAGCAACGCCGCGUGCGGGAUGACGGCCUUCGGGUUGUAAACCGCUUUCGCUUGUGACGAAGCGUGAGUGACGGUAAUGGGUAAAGAAGCACCGGCUAACUACGUG